GAAAUGCGAUAAGUAAUGUGAAUUGCAGAAUUCAGUGAAUCAUCGAAUCUUUGAACGCACAUUGCGCCCGCCAGUAUUCUGGCGGGCAUGCCUGUCCGAGCGUCAUUUCAACCAUCAAGCCCCCGGUCUUGUGUUGGGGACCUGCGGCUGCCCGCAGGCCCUGAAAACCAGUGGCGGGCUCGCUGUCACACCGAGCGUAGUAGCAAUCACCUCGCUCAGGGCGUGCUGCGGGUUCCGGCCGUUAAACAGCCUUACAAAACCCAAGGUUGACCUCGGAUCAGGUAGGAAGACCCGCUGAACUUAAGC
rnacentral:misc_RNA from 1 species